GUGCCAGCCGCCGCGGUAAUACGUAGGAGACGAGCGUUGUCCGGAGUUACUGGGCGUAAAGGGUGCGCAGGUGGUUGUGCGCGUGGGGGGUGAAAUCGCCCGGCUUAACUGGGCGGGGGCCUUCCAGACGGCAUGACUUGAGCAGCGGAGGGGGACGUGGAAUUCCGGGUGGAGCGGUGAAAUGCGUAGAGAUCCGGAGGAACACCGACGGCGCAGGCAGCGUCCUGGCCGCUUGCUGACACUGAGGCACGAAAGCUGGGGGAGCAAACAGGAUUAGAUACCCCCGUAGUCC
rnacentral:rRNA from 1 species